GAGCAGAGCCAUUGACUUGGAGAGGCUGGGGCUAUUGGGCCUGACACCCAAGUUUGUUAGCCCCUUGCCUCCCACACAGCCGAGCUUACUUUGGACAAAAGAGUGAGGAAAAAUAAAGCAAUGGCAGGAACAAAUGAAGAGUGAUGCUGGGGAAGAUAAAGCCAGAUCUCUGAGCAAAAGAAGCUUGGGUAUAGACCUCAGAACCUUGGAGAGAGUGGCACCUCUGACAUGCUGUAUGAACCAAUUGUUAUAUGGAGUGUGAACAGAAACCUGUUAUCCCCCUUUUGAAGAGGACACAUGAAAAUUUGACCAGCCUUAUAUUCCUUUGUGCAGAAUGGCCAGGCACUUAAAAUUUUGUAGUCACCAUGGUUCACUGUAUCACCAACAGGGGGAAGCAGUCUCUGCGUGGUCCUCUGCCGAUUGCAUCGGGGAAAGUCAUUAAAAAGAAUUAAAAAGGAAACAGAAAGAGACGGAAGAGGGGGAAAAAAACCCAACUAAACAGCCCCAAACAGUUAUAAACUCAAACAAAAGAACAACAGGAUCUUCCUGCUCAAAGGUCUGGGCCACUCUUACCUUGACAGCAAAGGACAGCAGCACACCAGCGAUUUACUGGGAGAAUGGAGGAAAGCCUUGGCUAGAUGGUGGAAGGUGUCUCAGGGAGAGCAGUACCAAGGCUGCUUCAACAGGCUGGUAGCAUGAAGGAUGCUGCUGGAAUAUUCCAUCAGACUGCACUGUCAUUAUUUUUGCCGGGUCUACAUCCAGGGAACUUGGAAGGAGUUGACCACUCGGUGUUUGAAGAAGUGCUUAGAGCUUUCCACGUGUUGAACCUCUUCAACUAUACUGGUAAAACUUCCACUUGACUUCAGAGAAAUUUCAGUCACAUCCCACAUCCAGGAGUGCAGUCCAGUCAUGUACACGACUUGCACAGAAGUACCCCUCAAGAACAUGGGAAAGCGUGUUUCUGGGGAGGGAAGUGCGCUGAUCUGUGGAGUAAGCAGAAGGGAUGGUGCAUAGUGCAGGACCAAACUGGGAAUAAGAGACUUAUAGGAGAGAUAUGUAAAGGACCAUUGUAGAAGGUGGAUUCCAAAAAAUGAAAGACUCUAACACAGGCCUUGGAAUUGUCCAUGGACACAAGGCAGCAGGGAGCUCACUCGGCAACUAACUAAUCCCUCUUUUCUGAGCUGGAGCCAACCAAGGAUGGAGCUGCCUCUUCUAGCCUGCCAGUGGCCUUAGAAAUUUUAAGGAAACCUAAAUUAAACCUGGCUUCUGAUGGGUGUUCUGCCUUCCCAAAUCCAAUUAGUCAAUCACAACUUUUCACUUAGUUGCAAUGACUUUAAUUGGAUCAGAAUAACAGCAGGAAGGAUAGAAAAUGGCAGGACUUUACUUAGCAUGCAGGGUGGAGCCUUGCAGCAAGGAUCAUCAUUAUCUCUAGCACAAGCUGUAGAGUUCAUCAGGGGUGUAAAAAUUCCAUGAGCAGACCACAAUAUUAUGUAUGAAGUAUUUUCAUCUUCUUAUAAGCUGUAAGCAUCCACAUGAAAAGCUGUAAUAGGUGUGGUGGUCCAGCCUACUGUUCUCCCGUGUGUGUACUUCAGCCAGCAGAACUUGGCUGCAUGCAAUACCUCCUUUGCACUUGGUGGUGUGAAGGGGCUUUUGGACAAGUGAAAGGCCUGUGAAUGUUCUCCAAGUCUUUAAAGCUGAACAUAAGCUUAGAGCUGGGCAGAACUGAGGCCUUUGGAGAGUGGAUUUUUUUUGAACUGCCAUUCAAAGGUGCAGGGGCUGUAGUGAAACACAACAGCUCCAAAACAUGCAUUCCUGUCAUGUUAGUGGACCUGGGGUAGCACCACCAGAUGAGCUUUAAUAGCCAAAUUCCAGGGUAUUAAGACAGUGACAAUACAUUAGCACCGGGACAAGACUUGGCAAUGACAGAGAUGAUCUAGCAAUGCUACUAAUAAGAGCUAAACUUCUUCUGAACAGAUGUGUCAUUGGCUUGCUCACUGGGAUGUGGGAAAGAGGAGACAUGGCUGU